UUCCCAGAUGACAUCCUGCCCCAGCUCCAGAUCCCUGGGUUUUCCUUCCUCCUUCUGCUGGAAUGAUGGGACAUUGCUGAUGUGGAACUGGGAAAUCACUCCUUGAAAGCGAAUGGCAGGAGAACUUUGCUGGGACGCACUAAGGGUCAUGGGAGCUCCGGUGCUCAUUAUUGAGGCGGACAUUCCGGGCAGAGCAUCUCCAAGGGAUGUGCUUCAGUUUGCCCCAGCGGUGGGAUAAACAUAGGGAUAGCAUCCGCCUCUGUUUUCUGCUGCAGUUCUUUCUUGUGCAACACCAGUGGGGCCAGCAGCGUCAAAGUCACCUAUUUGGUGCUGGCUAUGGCGAUCUUGGCCACCUUCAUCUAUAUCAGGGCUGGACUGUGAUCGGGCCAGAAAAAAAGAACUUGAAGACCUGAAGAACCUGCUCAGGCUUCUCCA